GACGAACGCUGGCGGCGGGCUUAACACAUGCAAGUCGAACGGAAAGGCCCUGCUUGUGUGGGGUGCUCGGGUGGCGAAGGGGUGAGGAAGACGUGAGUAACCUGCCCUAGACUUUGGGAUAACUUAAGGAAAGUGGGGCUAAUACCGGAUAGGAGCUCCUGUUGGAGGGAGGGGGUGGGAAAGUUUCGGCGGGUGGGGAUGGACGCGCGGCUUAUCGGUUUGUUGGUGGGGGAGGGGCUGACCAAGGAUUUGACGGUUAGCCGGCCUGAGAGGGUGAACGGCGACAUUGGGACUGAGAUACGGCCCAGACGCGUACGGGGGGCAGCAGGGGGGAAUAUUGCACAAUGGGCCGAAGCCUGAUGCAGCAACGCCGCGUUCGUGAUGACGGCUUUCGGGGUGUAAACCGCUUUCGCCUGUUACGAAGCGUGAGUGACGGUAAUGGGUAAAGAAGCACCGGCUAACUACGUG
rnacentral:rRNA from 1 species